rnacentral:rRNA from 1 species
GAUGAACGCUGGCGGCGUGCCUAAUACAUGCAAGUCGAGCGAACAGACGCGGCGCUUGCUCUUCUGACGUUAGCGGCGGACGGGUGAGUAACACGUGGAUAACCUUCCUAUAAGACUGGGACAACUGCGGGAAACCGGAGUUAAUACCGGGUAAUAUAUUGAACCGCAUGGUUGAAUAGUGAAAGACGGUUUUGCUGUCACUUAUACAUGGAUCCGCGCCGCUUUAGCUAGUUGGUAAGGUAACGGCUUCCCAAGGCAGCGAUGCGUAGCCGACCUGAGAGGGUGAACGGCCACACUGGAACUGAGACACGGCCCAGAGACCUACGGGAGGCACCAGUAGGGAAGCGUCCGAACUGGGCGAAAGCCUGAAGGAGCAACGCCGCGUGGAUGAUGAGGGUCUUCGGAUCGGAAAACGCUGUUAGUAGGGAAGAACAAAUGUGUAAGUAACUAUGCACGUCUUGACGGUACCUAGUCAGAAAGCCACGGCUAACUACGUG